rnacentral:rRNA from 1 species
AGUCBAACGGCAGCACGGUCUAGUUUACUAGAUGGGUGGCGAGUGGCGAACGGGUGAGUAACGCGUAGGAAUAUACCUUAAAGUGGGGGACAACUUGGGGAAACUCAAGCUAAUACCGCAUAGAUCUCUGAGGAGAGAAGCUGGGGACCUUCGGGCCUGGCGCUUUAAGAUUAGCCUGCGUCCGAUUAGCUAGUUGGUGGGGUAAGGGCCUACCAAGGCAAAGAUGGCUAGCCGGCCUGAGAGGGUGUACGGCCACAUUGGGACUGAGAUACGGCCCAAACUCCUACGGGAGGCAGCAGUGAGGAAUAUUGCGCAAUGGGCGAAAGCCUGACGCAGCGACACCGCGUGAAGGAUGAAGGUCUUCGGAUUGUAAACUUCUGUUAAGUGAGAAGAAAGAACCACCUCUAAUAUGGGUGGGAGAUGACGUUAUC